rnacentral:rRNA from 1 species
AUACGGAGGGUGCAAGCGUUACUCGGAAUCACUGGGCGUAAAGCGCGCGCAGGCGGCUUGAUAAGUUGGAUGUGAAAGCCUACGGCUCAACCGUAGAACUGCAUCCAAAACUGUCAAGCUAGAGUCUGGGAGGGGAAGAUGGAAUUAGUUGUGUAGGGGUAAAAUCCGUAGAGAUAACUAGGAAUACCAAAAGCGAAGGCGAUCUUCUGGAACAGUUCUGACGCUGAGGCGCGAAAGCGUGGGGAGCAAACAGGAUUAGAAACCCGAGUAGUCC